rnacentral:rRNA from 1 species
UACAGAGGGUGCGAGCGUUGUCCGGAAUCACUGGGCGUAAAGGGCGCGUAGGUGGCGCUCCAAGUCCGUGGUGAAAGCUCGAUGCUCAACAUCGAGUCGGCCACGGAGACUGGAGGGCUCGAGCACUGUAGGGGCAGAUGGAAUUCCGGGUGUAGCGGUGGAAUGCGUAGAGAUCCGGAAGAACACCGGUGGCGAAGGCGGUCUGCUGGGCAGUUGCUGACACUGAGGCGCGACAGCGUGGGGAGCGAACAGG